ensembl:lncRNA
GGGAGCCACAGCCCCGUCUCCCAGGGUAUGAAGCAGGUAUGGAGGAGAUCCAGGCCCCAGAUAUCCAGAGGCCCCAGAGUACAAGGACCCAAGGAGGACCACCAAAGGGGGGGGGAACCGUGCCACCCUCCUGGGAAGAGCUGAGUAGAGCCCCAAAGGAGAGGUCACCCCGCAGCUACGGAGCAGAGGCCAGAGGGGGUUGCAGUGGCGUGCCCGCGGGCUCUGCCGGCAGCCAGCUGUGUCAGAGAGGACCGAGCUUCAGGCCUCGAGGCCAGAGGCCUGAGGGCAUCCCACCCCUGCCGGGCCACAGGCACCCGGCCCCGCCAAUCAGCCACCAGGAGUGAGCCGGUACAUAUAUGAGCGCCCAGCCGACAAGGACCACCAACACACCAACAUCUGAGGGCAUCAGCCACCGGCAGGGAGUGUGGUGAGGGGAGAUAGGCCUCCGUACUUUAGAGGGCCUGAGAUGUACCCAGAGAGGUUGGGUUUAAGACCCAACCUGACAUAUAGACACAGACGAACAGGCACACGCGGACACAGACGUGCAUUCCCACCCCAUAUGCACAACCAAAUACUCGGCACUCACCCAACGUGUAGACAGACACAAAUAGACACUGCACAGACAGUCGCACUCCCCAAACUCUAUAUCCCAGGUCCAGGUAACCCCGCCCGGACCUUUAAUAAUCUAUUAAUUAAUGGAUAACUGUUUCACUAUUUCAGUUGAAUCAGAGGAUGUCACAUAUUCUUUGGUGGAGCUUAAAAACACCACUCCAAGGAGUAAGUACUUUAUGUUGGAAACAUUUAGGGGUUUAGAUGUUUUUAAAGCGAGCAAUAUUUAAAGAAAAUAAAGAAAAUUGUGUUUUCUUUUUUUUUCUUUUUUUUGUUUGGUUUUUGACAUUUGUCUUAUCCUUCUGACAGAGAAGCCCAAGAUACCAGAGGAGAGUUGUGUUUACUCUGAUGUUAAAAUACGACCUUCCUCAGGAAAAUCAGAUCCUGCCACAGCCCAUGAAAUGGUUUAUUCUGGACUCAAACCGGGAAAAUAACUUGGUGACUGUACAGCAGUCACCAAGCCCCAGCAGAGAUUUUUCACUGUAAUUAUGUACUUUUAGACACAUUAGAAUGUAUUGUAAACAAAAUAAAUAUAUCUGCA